rnacentral:rRNA from 1 species
UACAGAGGUCUCGAGCGUUUAAUCGGAAUUACUGGGCUUAAAGGGUGCGUAGGCGGCGCUGUAAGUGCCUUGUGAAAUCCCAUGGCUCAACCAUGGAAUUGCUCGGUAGACUGCAGCGCUUGAGGUCGGUAGAGGUCGCUGGAACUCUAGGUGGAGCGGUGAAAUGCGUAGAUAUCUAGAGGAACGCCAAAGGUGUAGACAGGCGACUGGGCCGAUUCUGACGCUGAGGCACGAAAGCGUGGGUAGCGAACGGG